rnacentral:tRNA from 1 species
NCCCAGCUAGCUCAGUUGGUAGAGCAGGAGACUCUGAAUNUCAGGGUCCUGGGUUCGAGCCCCACCUUGGGNG